CAUCACCCCUUGCACUCUAUCUGCAUGUGGGUGGCGUUCAAACCCUUGAAGAGGUCUGCAACGUAGAUUCUCCUUCCCACCUCCUCUCUUACAUGGUCGGGGGGAUGAGUUGUAUUGUUCGGCUAGCAGCAGCAAAGCCCUGCGCGUCAAUAGGAGAGCCGCCUCCUUAAUUGUUCUUCCCCUGUCAGGCGUCAGCAGACAACAUGCCAUCAGAAGAGCUGGGAAGGUGGUAGUAAGUCUUCCAGUUUGAGGAGAUUAAAAGUCUAAUCCUUUAUUUCCUAUUGAUCACCUACCCGGCUUACGAAUUGAAUUGGACAUGCUUCUGUAACCUGGGUUGUUCAUCAGGGACAUUUUGUGGUGCAGGUUUCUUCCAAGUUCAGGAAAGACUCUGCUGUGACCUCAUGAAUAGGUUCAAACAAGACCCUGUGUUCACCAUUAUACUUGCGUAGCAGCUGGAGCUCAUGGCCUCUGUUUAGAGAUGUCUUCCCACCAUUCAGCAUCAUGCCAACACCAUGAAUUCCCAUAUGGAAGGCAACAGACAGAGGCCUAAUGGUUAAUUGCACGCAACGUGGAAUAAUUCUCCCCAUUGCUCUCUGUCGGAAGGUCACUCCUCUGCUCUCCAAUCCCAAGGCAAACUCAUAAUAGAAUAAGAUCAUCGAGCAACAAGCAGAGUCUACGGGUGAGUGCUGUUUAUGUUGAAUGUCUUUAGAGUAUCUUGAGGUUGGAUGAUUAUUUCUCAGGUUGAUGGGAAAAUUAGAACUAUCCACCAGUGUAUCGUUCUUGAUUACUUGUUCAUGAAUAGAGUAUUUUGAUCCAAACAAGCCUUGAUGAUAUCUUAAAUCAUUUGAGCAAAAAGAGUAGAUUGCAGAUGGAUUUUACUCA
rnacentral:lncRNA from 1 species